GGCCAUCCGUGGCAAUGCCUCCCAGGCUUGGGAGCUGGGAAAAGGCCCCAGGAGCUAGGGCAUCCUGAUUGUUCUUUCAAAGAAAUCCCUCUUGUUCUUAGUCAACAUGCUGGAUACCAGCUAAAAAAUGCAAAAUGAUCUUCAGGCAGGGAUGGCACAGGACCCUUGCUGAGCUGUGAAGCCUGGCUGUGAGGAUUCCUGCAUGGAAACAUCAACAUGUUGCCAGAUUGGUAUACGACUCAACACCACACUGACAUGCUGCUCCCAAACAGUGCCUUUGAAUCAAGACCCAGUCAUCGUAUUCGAAGAAAAAGGAAAUAUCCCUGACCAUGUUGGGACUUAACACUGCUUCACAGAGGGUGAGAACCACUACAGGACAAAAAUGAGCUCCUUUUUUCCAGUCUCAGCCCAGGAGGGAUCUUCACAGAGAAAGCAAGCCCAGCCCAUCCCCACAGCUGGCUCCCUGGUGCCCAUUCUGAAAGGCUGGACCCAUCCUGACCUGUCCCUGCCCCAAGGACUGCCUGGUGAGGGAUGGCUUACCAACACUGUGACUCAGUCCUUCCAACAUGCCCAACAGGUCAAUUCUGGGAUAUUCCUUACAGGAAUUAAUGAGAGCACAUUGCCGGUAAUGUUGGCAUUAGUAGAUUACAUUUAAAUUUAAAAAUUCCUUUUAUGGGGUUUAAGAAUAGAGACAAGACACCCAUGCAAUAAAGAAAGGAGGAGACUUUGCCUGGUCUAAUGGAGAAGCUGGAGCUGCAUUGUUGGGUACAGUGGCCAGUGGCUACACCUGGCUUUUGAGCCCUUGCACAGUGGCAAGGACACAUUGAGAUGUGCCCUAGGUGCAAGAUACACACAGGAUUUCAAAGACUGAGUAUGAAAAAAGAAGAAAAAAUGUCUCAUUAAUAUUUUUAUAUUGGUUGCAUGUGGAAGUGAUAACAUUUUGGAUAUAAAGUUGACCUUUGAACAGUAUGGGUUUGAACUGCACAGGUCUGCUUAUAAGUGAAAUUUCUUCUGCCUCUGCCACCCCUGAGACAGCAAGAC
rnacentral:lncRNA from 1 species